rnacentral:rRNA from 1 species
UACGGGGGGGGCAAGCGUUGUUCGGAAUUACUGGGCGUAAAGGGCUCGUAGGCGGCCAACUAAGUCGGAUGUGAAAUCCCCAGGCUCAACUUGGGAACUGCAUCCGAUACUGGAUGGCUUGAAUCCGGGAGAGGGAUGCAGAAUUCCAGGUGUAGCGGUGAAAUGCGUAGAUAUCUGGAGGAACACCGGUGGCGAAGGCGGCAUUCUGGACCAUUACUGACGCUGAGGAGCGAAAGCCAGGGGAGCAAACGGG